GACGAACGCUGGCGGCGUGCUUAACACAUGCAAGUCGAACGGUGAAGCGCUUGCCUUUUUGGUGGGUGUGGAUGAGUGGCGAACGGGUGAGUAACACGUGAGUAACCUGCCCUCUUCUUCUGGAUAACCUCAUGAAAGUGGGGCUAAUACGGGGUAUUCCGGGUCUGUCGCAUGGCGGGUUUGGGAAAGAUUGCGCCUUUGGGUGUUUUCGGUGGGGGAUGGGCUCGCGGCCUAUCAGCUUGUUGGUGGGGUGAUGGCCUACCAAGGCGGUGACGGGUAGCCGGCCUGAGAGGGUGGACGGCCACACUGGGACUGAGACACGGCCCAGACUCAUGCGGGAGGCAGCAGUGGGGAAUAUUGCACAAUGGGCGCAAGCCUGAUGCAGCGACGCCGCGUGAGGGAUGGAGGCCUUCGGGUUGUGAACCUCUUUCGCCAGUGAAGCAGGCCUGCUCCUGUGUGGGUGGGUUGACGGUAGCUGGAUAAGAAGCGCCGGCUAACUACGUG
rnacentral:rRNA from 1 species